UACGUAGGGGGCAAGCGUUGUCCGGAAUCAUUGGGCGUAAAGAGCGUGUAGGCGGCCAGAUAAGUCCGCUGUGAAAACUCGAGGCUCAACUUCGAGCUGUCGGCGGAAACUAUCUGGCUAGAGUCCGGAAGAGGAGAGUGGAAUUCCUGGUGUAGCGGUGAAAUGCGCAGAUAUCAGGAAGAACACCCGUGGCGAAGGCGGCUCUCUGGGACGGUACUGACGCUGAGACGCGAAAGCGUGGGGAGCGAACCGG
rnacentral:rRNA from 1 species